rnacentral:rRNA from 1 species
UACGUAGGGUGCGAGCGUUGUCCGGAAUUAUUGGGCGUAAAGAGCUUGUAGGCGGUCUGUCGCGUCUGCUGUGAAAAUCCGGGGCUCAACCCCGGACUUGCAGUGGGUACGGGCAGACUAGAGUGUGGUAGGGGAGACUGGAAUUCCUGGUGUAGCGGUGAAAUGCGCAGAUAUCAGGAGGAACACCGGUGGCGAAGGCAGGUCUCUGGGCUGUAACUGACGCUGAGGAGCGAAAGCAUGGGGAGCGAACAGG